GUGGGGUGUGUGUGUGUGUGUAGGGGGGGGUGUGUGUGUGUGUGUGUGUGUGUGUGUGUGUUUAAAAACUGCGCUAACGGAAUACUACUGUGUGUAGUCAUCGCCUGCGUUUUUUUUUUUUUUGCCCCCCUCCAACAUUAUUUUUGGGAUUUAGUUUUUAUACCCCAGGGUUUCUCAAACUUAGCACUGUUGACAUUCAGUACCAGAUAGUUCUUUUUUGGGGGGCCGUUCUGUGCACUGUAGGGUGUUGAGCAGCAUCCCUGGCCUCCACUCACCAGAUGCCAGUGACAGCCCCUCCCCAAUCAGUCGUGACGUUCAAAACUGUCUCCAGACACUGCCAAGGUCCCACCAGGGGGCAAAAUUGCCCCUGGUAGAGAACCAGUAUAUAUGUUAAGAUGUAAUUAGUUCCAGACAUCUCCUUUGUAUGUGGUAUUUUUUUUUCUCAGUGUUUUACUUUUGUUACCCACUUGGCUCCUUGGACUCUUUAAUCAAUAGAAAUUGAUAGGAAGCCAGAUGAGGAAUUCAGGCAGGGCUUUACUGGGACUCGUGCUGUGAAGGAGAGAAAACAAGGAUCGGGGGCUCUUGCUCGCUCCCUGAGGUGGGGGAGCUGGUCCUUUAAAUGGGAUGGGGGGGCAGGUCCAUGGGUCCCCCCAGAGGGGUGGCGUAGGUGGCCUCACGCCCUUGGUGGUGCUGUGUGCAGGUAUCAUGCACAGUACACUGCUUUUCCCCCAGCACUUCAGAAGUAGCAACUGGGUUUUUGGUCAUUUUAUAUCUUGUUCAGAAUUCGCCACAACUAUGCUUGGAUGCAGUUAUUUUUAGUCCCUUAUAGUUUCUCUGUAUUCUGUUGCGGAGAUUCUGGUGCUCCAGGAGAUGUUUGUCCAGGUGCAAGCACUGCAGCAAAGGGUCCCAGGUCCCAGCCUACCUCAAUUUGUGUAGUUAAGUGAACAAAUUCUCCUUGUUAAAAACUGGGCAACGUAUGGCACCAAAUGGUAUACUGUGAAAAAGAGGUCUCCCAUGCCAGUCCUCAUGUCAUUUGGUUGAGCUCCUUGAAAGCCAUCAAAAUUUCCAGUUGCUUUUGUGAGUUUUUAGAUCUCUGCAUGUACCAACGCGUGUUCUUUAAGCCCAAGAAGACAACUGAUGGAUACAUUUUCGAUUGUAAUAGAAAAUGCCACAUUGUCCUCAGAGUGGCUCCCCGGGGUGUGAAACGAGCUUCCCCCCCCCGAAUUCUGGCCAGUACUUGAAAGCACACAGCUCUCAAGUUCAUGGUGAGGUGGAAGGGUUGAGUCAGCUCUCACUUGUGUGGCUGGGUUCACCUUACUCACCUAAGCUAGCUUUGCAUCUUUUUGAAGUUUCCUUCUAUGGCAAGAUUCCCUGGCCAGGUUUUGCAGAGCUCACUUUUGCUAAGAAGAUUUGAUUCUUCUGUCAAUUUUAGUCCACAGUUUUUUUUUUUUCUACCAUGUCUGAUUUCUCAGAGUGAAUACUUGCAGUUUUCAGUGUCCUGCAAGCUCUGAUUUUUCUGGUGUUUUUCUUUCACGGAGGCAUGUGCUGACCAGUAUGAUAGCCAGUAGCCACAAAUCUUGUUUUUAUUUAAACAGCUUAGUGUGUAUUUUUUUUUCAAAAAGCUUCAUUGAAAUAUAACUCACGUACCAUACCAUUCACCAUUUGAAGUGUACACUUUAAUGGCUUUUCCUAUUCACAGAGUUGUACAACCAUCAUCACAGUCAUUUUUUAAAAUAAAUUUAUGUAUUUAUAUUUAUUUUUAGCUUCAUUGGGUCUUCGUUGCUGGGUGUGGGCCUUCUCUAGUUGUGGCGAGCUCGGGCUUCUCAUUAUGGUGGCUUCUCAUUGCAGAACACGAGCUCUAGGUGCGCGGGCUCAGUAGUUGUGGCAUGUGGACUCAGUAGUUGUGGCUCGCAGGCUCAGUAGUUGUGGCGCACUGGCUUAGUUGCUCCGUGGCAUGUGGGAUCUUCCCGGACCAGGGAUCGAACCCGUGUCCCCUGCAUUGGUAGGCGGAUUCUUAACCACUGCACCACCAGGGAACUCCUGUCGCAGUCAUUUUAAGAAUAUCUUCACUACCUCAAAAAGAAACCCUGUACCCUUUACCUGUCGCCCCCUAUCUCCCCAACCCCUACCCCAGCCCUAAGCAACCACCAAUCUACUUCUGUCUUAUGAGAUUUCCCUCUUUGGGAUAUUUCAUAUAAAUAGAAUCAUACAAUAUGUGGUCUUUUGUGAUUGGCUUCAUUUAUAAUGUUUUCAUGGUUCAUCCAUGUUGUAGCAUAUGUCAGAAUUUCCUUUUUAAGGCUGAAUAAUAUUCCUGUGUAGGGAUGGACCCCAUGUUUAUCCAUUCAUCUGCUGAUGGACACUUGGGUGGCUAACACCUUUUGGCUGUUGUGAACAUUUGUGUACAAGUAUGUGUUUGAAGCUGUUCUCAACUCUUUUGCUAGAUCCCUGGGAGUGGAAUUGCUGGGUCAUGUGGUAACUGUAUGUUUACUCAUUUGAGGAACUGCCAGACCUUUUUCCACAGCAGCUACACCAUUUUACAUUCCCACUAGCAGUGAAUGAGGAUUCUGAUUUCUCCACGUGUCACCAAGACUCGUUGUUAUUUGACUUUUUGAUUCCAACUGCCCUAGUGGGUGUGAUACCUCGUCGUGGUUUGGGUUUGCACUUCCUGGUGGCUCAUGGUGUUGAGCAUCUUUUCAUGUGUUUAUUCCCUGCGUACCUUUCUUGGAGAAAUGUCUCUUUAGCUCCUUUGCCCACUUUUAUUGGAUAACAUCUUUUUAUUCUUGAGUUGGAGUGUUUAAAAAUCCAUUCUAGAUACAAUUCCCUUAUCACAUAUAUGAUUUCCAAUUAUUUCCUCCUAUUCUGUGGAUUGGCUUUUCACUUUCUAGAUCACGUAAACACAUCCCCAGUCUUGCCCCAACCCCUGUUCAGUCACCCUGGGUGAGCCCUCCAGCACCAGAAGCAUUCCUUCUAGAACCUGGAAAAGGUUGGGGCUGGCUCUCUGGGGAGGUGGGGUGUGGGUGAGGUGGGGGUCGGCAGAGCAGAGGCUUCCCUGUGUGUGAUGGGAAUCAAACAGCUGUGCUGGGCCUGGGAGAGGCAGCAGAGGACAGGUGCUCACAGACACUCCCCUAUUCCUUACCUGUGUACUAUGCCCUUAACAUGUGCCCCCAUACUGGGAUAUAUUAUAUUUAUUAUAUAUGCUCUUAAUAUGGUUAAUUCUUUCUUUCUUUUUUUUUUUUUUGCGGUACGCGGGCCUCUCGCUGUUGUGGCCUCUCCCGUUGUGGAGCACAGGCUCCGAAUGCGCAGGCUCAGCAGCCAUGGCUCACGGGCCUAGCAGCUCUGCGGCAUGUGGGAUCUUCCCGGACCGGGGCACGAACCUGUGUCCCCUGCAUCGGCAGGUGGACUCUCAACAACUGCGCCACCAGGGAAGCACGGUUAUUUCUUUAUUUUAAAUUGAAGUAUAGUUGAUUUACAAUAUUGUGCCAGUCUCUGCUGUAUAGCAGAGUGACUCAGUUAUACAAAUACGUACACAUAUAUGUACAUUAUUUUUUUAUAAUUCUUUUCCAUUAUGGUUUAUCAGGAUAUUGAAUAUAGUUCCCUGUGCUAUACAUUAGGACCUUGUUGCUUAUCCAUUCUAAAUGUAAUAGUUUGCAUCUAUCAACCCCAAAAUCCCAGUCCAUCUCUCCCCCCAGCCCCCUCCCCCUUGGUAACCACAAGUCUGAUCUCUGUGUCUGUGAGUCUGUUUCUGUUUUGUAGAUGGGUUCACUUAUGCCAUAUUUUAGAUUCCACAUAUAAGUGAUAUUAUUUGGUAUUUGUCUUUCUCUUUCUAACUUACUUCACUUAGUAUGAUAAUCUCUAGUUGCAUCCAUUGUUUAUUUUUUUGGCCUUGCCCAGAGGCUUGUGCGAUCUUAGUUCCCCCACCAAAGAUUGAACCCGGUCCCCUGGCAGUGGAAGCAUGGAGUCCUAACCACUGGACGGCCAGGGAAUUCCCAAUAUGGUUAUUUCUUGUCCCUCCUCACUGGAAUCUAAGAAGGGUAAGGGAUUUUUGCGGUCAUUUACCACCAUAUUGUCCAGUGCAGAGACCGGUCCGGGACAUAGGAGAUGUUUAAUGAGUAUUUAUUAGAGGAAUCAGCCGCAUUUUUGUUUGUGCACACACAGAAAGUCUUUGGGGAGAGCGCUGGGGGACAGGGUGUUGGGACUGAGAGGAUCUUUUGAUUGAUAAUGGAUUGCCACAAAAAAUCCUUAUCCUUCAAAGAGACCCUAUGCUUUGGUUUGGGCAGAUUAUCAUUGUAUUAUUUAGUUGUUUUUUUUUUAAACUAGUUGCAUAGAAAUGUGUAUGAAACGAUCCCAUUUUUCUAAAAAAAUUAAGAGAAAAUCCUGAAUAUGGGCAUAUUGUCCUCGAGCACGGGGUGGGUGUGGGGGACGGGGUGGGUGUGGGGGAGAAAAACUACGACGCAGAGGUGGAGACAAAUAGAAACCACACCCCCGAGGAAGCGGCAUCUGUUAGGUACGCCCCCAGAAGGGCGGGGACAGAUACAGCUACGCCCAUGGGGCGGUCUCAGCCUCAAAACACGCCCUAGAUGCACGGAUUCUGUCUCAGAGCCCAAUCGCGUUGCAGUGGGCGGGAACUCCAGUGCUUCCGCCCAUGAUCAGCGGAUGCUGCUCGCCCCUCCCACCCCAGAGGUUCCGCCAAUUCCCAGAACGUCCCAUCUGUUCCGGCCUCGGAGUGGUGGUGGUAGUUUCCGCCACCGCUGGCUGCGGCCCCAGUUCUCCGAGGCCAGCGGGGCUCAGCGAGGGGUGGGGUGGUCACAGGCCAGGGCGGAGCUCUACGGGCAGCGGGUAGGGUCGUUUUGACACGUCUCCUGCCCCGUGGAGGUAGCUCCCCAGGCCGGUGGACCUCGGGGACCUAGGUAGGGGCUCCCGACGUUUUCACCCCGGGAGUCCGGGACCCCCGAUGGUCCCGCCGCCAGACUCCUCUGCCGGCGCCACUGCCAUGGUGGGCGAGUUGCGCACCCUCCCACUGCCUCAGAUUCUCUAUUUAUUUAUUUAUUUAUUUAUUUGAGUUUUGGCUGCGUUGGGUUUUCAUUGUUGCACGCGGGCUUUCUCUAGUUGCGGUGAGCGUGGGCUACUCUUCAUUGUGGUGCGCGGGCUUCUCAUUGCCGUGGCUUCUCUUUGUUGCUGGACACGGGCUCUAGGCGCGUGGGCUUCAGUAGUUGCGGCAUACAGGCUCAGUAGUUGUGGCUCGCGGGCUCUAGAACGCAGGCUCAGUAGUUGUGGCGGACGGGCUUAGUUGCUCCAUGGUAUGUGGGAUCUUCUCGGACCAGGGCUCGAACUCGUGUGCCCUGCAUUGGCAGGCGGAUUCUUAACUACCGUGCCACCAGGGAAGCCCAAGCCUGGCUCUCUUUAAGCCUUCCUCAAUAUCACCAAACCUAGUUUCCUUCUUUCUUUUUCUUUUUUUUUUUUUUUUUUGCCCCCACCUCCGCUUGCGGGAUCUUAGUUCCCCAACCAGGGAUGGAACCUGUGCCCCCAGCAGUGAAAGCACCAAGUCCUAACCACUGGCCGCCAGGGAAUUCCCUCAGUAUCAUCGCACCUAAGCCAAAUCACUGUAAGUCUUUUCUAGCACCCUCUUAGAGCAACCCCAUGAUUCCUUAUGCUAUGUGUUCUUCCUGGCUGCAGGGAGUGAUAAACCCACUCUGUUCAACCACAGGCAUGUAUGUGCCUGGUGGUCUUUGCCUGGGGAGGCCCUGAUGGGCUAACACAGAAGCAUUUCCAGCAGUGUCGGCACCUGGCAAAUAUUGCAUUAGUGCAGCUGAGAUUUUUAUCAUCAUCCAUCGCACGUGCAAAAGGGUGCAGACCAAUUUCUGACAAACGGGACAUCCUCAUUACUAUUCAAUUUCAUCGCAAAUUACUUUCAAAAGCCAAUUCUUGAAUCUUGUGUUCGGGCAUUUAAACCAUUUCCUUCCAUCUGCAUUUUAUUUCUUGUUGAGUAUGAAAUAGUUCAAACAAAGGAAAGUUCAGAGACCAAUAAAACAAAUCCCUCGCAUAUUUGCCACCCAGGUUUAAUAAAAUUGAACAGUGUGGCAUUUUGGCUGCAUAAAAAUAUAAAACAUGUAUUUGAAGCUCUCUUUGAAGCCCCUUCCACUCUCCCCAGAGGUAAGCAGGGUUUAGCGUCUGUGAGUCUUUCUGUUUAUGUUGUUACACUUUUACUACCUGAGUGAGCAUCCUUGAGCAGUGUGUGGAAUUCUUCUCUGGCUUUGGAAAGUUUACAUAAAUGUAAAUGGUAUUUAUUGUAUUUCACAUAGCUAUCUUUUUUUUUUUUUUUUUUUUGCGGUACGCGGGCCUCUCACUGUUGUGGCCUCUCCCGUUGCAGAGCAACAGGCUCCAGAUGCACAGGCUCAGCGUCCAUGGCUCAUGGGCCUAGCCUCUCUGCAGCAUGUGGGAUCUUCCCGGACCGGGACACGAACCUGUGUCCCCUGCAUCGGCAGGCGGACUCUCAACCACUGCGCCACCAGGGAAGCCCCACAUAGCUAUCUUUGAAAGACUAUGAACCAGUCAUUAAAAUUGUAUUUAAAUUAUCUGAUGACAGAGGAAAGUGUUCAAUAUAUAUUAUUAAAUGAAAAUGUUAUAAAGCAGUAUGUAUAAUACAAUUUUUUAAAAUUUUUGUUGAAAUAUAGUUGAUUUACAAUGUGUAGUUUGAGGUAUACGGCAAAGUGACUCAGUUAUACAUAUACAUAUGUAUCUAUUCUUUUUAAGAUUAUUUUCCAUUAUAGAUUAUUACAAGAUAUUGAGUAUAGUUCCCUGUGCUCUACAGUAGGACCUUAUUGGUUAUCUAUUUUAUAUACAGUAGUAUAUAUAUUUUAAUCACAAACUCCUAAUUUAUCCCUCCCCGCUUUCCCCUUUGGUAACCAUAAGUUUGUUUUCUAUGUCUGUGAGUCUGUUUCUGUUUUGUAAGUAAGUUCAUUUGUAUCUCUUUUUUUUUUAGAUUCCACAUAUAAGCAAUAUCAUAUGAUAUUUGUCUUUGUCUGACUUCAGUUAGCAUGAUAAUCUCUAGGUCCAUCCAUGUUGCUGCAAAUGCCAAUAUUUCAUUCAUUUUUAUGGCUGAGUAGUAUUCCAUUGCAUAUAUGUACUGCAUCUUCUUUAUCCAUUCAUGUGUAGAGGGACACUUAGGUUGCUUCCAUGUCUUGGCUAUUGUAAAUAGUGCUGCUAUGAACAUUGGGGUAUGUGUAUCUUUUCAAAUUAGGUUUUGUCUGGAUAUAUACCCAGGAGCAGGAUUACUGGAUCAUAUGGUAACUCUAUUUUUACUUUUUAAAGGACCCUCCAUACUGUUUUACAUAGUGGCUGCACCAAUUUAUAUUCCUACCAACAACAUAGGAGGGUUCCCUUUUCUCCACACCCUCUCUAGCAUUUAUUAUUGGUAGACUUUUUGAUGAUGGCCAUUCUGACUGGUGUGAAGUGAUAUCUCAUUGUAGUUUUGAUUUGCAUUUCUCUAAUAAUUAGUGAUGUUGAGCAUAUUUUCAUGUGCUUUUUGGCCAUCUGUACAUCUUCUUUGGAGAAAUGUCUAUUUAGAUCUUCUGCCCAUUGUUUUAUUUUUAUUUUUUUUAAUAUAUAGAGCUGUAUGAGCCAUUUGGAUAUUUUGGAAAUUAAUCCCUUCUGGGUCACAUCAUUUGCAAAUAUUUUCUCCUAUUCUGUAGGUUGUCUUUUCAUUUUGUUCAUGAUUUCCUUUGCUGAGCAAAAGCUUUUGAGUUUAAUUAGGUCCCAUUUGUUUAUUUUUAUUUCUAUCACUCUAGGACAGAGAUCCAAAAAAAUAUUGUUGCGAUUUAUGUCAAAGAGUGUUCUGCCUGUUGUCCUCUAGGAGUUUUAUAGUAUCCGGUCUUACAUUUAGGUCUUUAAUCCAUUUUGAGUUUAUUUUGUACAUGGUGUUAGAGAAUGUUCUAAUUCGAUUCUUUUAUGUGUAGAUGUCCAGUUUUCCCAGCACCACUUGUUGAAGGGACUGUCUUUUCUCCAUUGUAUAUUCUUGCCUCCUUUGUCGUAGAUUAAUUGACCAUAAGUACAUGGGUUUAUUUCUGGGCUUUCUAUCCUGUUCCAUUGAUUUAAUGUUUCUGUCUUUGUGCCCUUACCAUACUGUUUUUUUGUUUGUUUUUUGUUUGUUUGUUUUUUGCAGUACGCAGGCCUCUCACUGUUGUGGCCUCUCCUGUUGCGGAGCACAGGCUCUGGAUGCACAGGCUCAGCAGCUAUGGCUCACGGGCCCAGCCGCGCCGCAGCAUGUGGGAUCUACCCAGACCGGGGCACAAACCCGUGUCCCCUGCAUCGGCAGGCGGACUCUCAACCACUGCGCCACCAGGGAAGCCCUACCAUACUGUUUUGAUGACUGUAGCUUUGUAGUAUGGUCUGAAGUCAGGGAACCUGAUUCCUCCAGCUCUGUUUUUCUUUCUCAAGAUUGCUUUGGCUUUUUGGGAUCUUUUGUGUUUCCAUACAAAUUUUAAAAUUUUUGUUCUAGUUCUGUGAAAAAUGCCGUUGGUAAUUUGAUAGGGAUUGCAUUGAAUCUAUAGAUUGCCUUGGGUAGUAUGGUCAUUUUAACAAUAUUGAUUCUUCCAAUCCAAGAACAUGGUACAUCUCUCCAUCUGUUUCUGUCCUCUUUGAUUUCUUUCAUCAGUAUCUUAUAGUUUUCAGAGUACAAGUCUUUUGCUUCCUUAGGUAGGUUUAUUCCUAGGUAUUUUAUUCUUUUCGAUGCAGUGGUAAAUGGGGUUGUUUCCUUAAUUUCUCUUUCUGCUAUUUCAUUGUUAAUGUAUAGAAAUGCAAUUUCUGUAUAUCAAUUUUGUAUCCCACAACUUUACCUAAUUCAUUAAUGAGUUCUAGUAAUUCUCUGGCAUCUUUAGGAUUUUGUACAUAUAGUAUCAUGUCGUCUGCAAAACAGUGACAGUUUUACUUCUACUUCUUCUUUUCUAAUUUGCACUACUUUUAUUACUUUGUCUUCUCUGAUUGCUGUGGCUAGGAAUUCCAAAACUAUGUCGAAUAAAAGUGGUGAGAGUGGGCGUCCUUGUCUUGUUCCUGAUUUAGAGGAAAUGCUUUCAGCUUUUCACCAUUGAGUAUGAUGUUAGCUAUGGGUUUGUCAUAUAUGGCCUUGAUUAUAUUGAGAUAUAGUCCCUCUAUGCCCACUUUUUUGAGAGUUUUUAUCAUAAAUGGAUGUUGAAUUUUAUGAAGAGCUUUUUCUACACCUCUUGAGGUGAUCAUAUGGUUUUUAUUCUUCAGUUUGUUAAUGUGGUAUAUCACAUUGAUUGAUUUGUGGAUAUUGAAGAAUCUUUGCAUCUCUGGGAUAAAUCCUACUUGAUCAUGGUGUAUGAUCCUUUUGAUGUAUUGUUGGAGUUGGUUUGCUAGUAUUUUGUUGAGGAUUCUUACAUCUAUUUUUCAUCAAUGAUACUGGCCUGUAGUUUUCUUUUUUUGUGAUAUAUAUAUAUAUAUAUGUAUAAUCUUAAUUGGUUAAAUUUUUUUUAAAUUAAUAAAUCUUAUCUUUUAGAGCAGUUUUAGGUUUGUAGAAAAUUUGAGCAGAGGGUACAGAAAGUUCCCACCUACCCUUUGCCCACCACACACACACACACACACACACACACACACACACACACACACACACAGAGUUUCCCUGCCUUGCAUUCAUGUAGUACAUUUGUUACAAUUGAUGAGCUGAUAUUGAUUCAUUAUUAUUUUUAACAUUUUUUAAUUGAAGUAUAGUUGAUUUACAAUGUUGUGCCAGUCUCUGCUGUACAGUAAAGUGGCUCAGUUAUACACGUAUAGACAUUCUUUCUUUUAAUAUUCUUUUCCAUUAUGUUUUAUCACAGGAUAUUGAAUAUAGUUGCCUGUGCUAUACAGUAGGACCUUGUUGUUUAUCCAGAUACAUUAUUAUUAACUAAAGUUCUUAGCUGACAUUAGGUUUCACCCUUGGCUUUGUACAGUUCAGUGGUUUUCGACACAUGUAUAAUGGCAUGUGUCCAUCAUUAUUGUAUUAUACAGAAUAGGGUCACUUCCCUAAAAAUCCCCUGUGCUCCACCUCUUCAUCCCUCCCUCCCCCAACCCCUGGCAACCACUGAUUUUCUUUUUUAAGUUGUUUUUUUUUAAAAAUUUUUGGCUGCAUUGGGUCUUUGAUGCUGCGCAUGGGCUUUCUCUAGUUGUGGCGAGCGGGGGCUACUCUUCAUUGCAGUGUGCAGGCUUCUCAUUGAGGUGACUUCUCUUGUUGCUGAGCACGGGCUCUAGUCAUGCGGGCUUCAGUAGUUGUGGCACGUGGGCUCAGUAGUUGUGGCUCACAGGUUCUAGAGCAAGGCUCCGUAGUUGUAGCGCAUGGGCUUAGUUGCUCUGCGGCAUGUGGAAUCUUCCUGGACCAGGACUUGAACCCAUGUCCCCUGCACUGGCAGGUGGAUUCUUAACCACUGCGCCACCAGGGAAAUCCAGCCACUUAUCUUUUUAUUGUCUCCAUAGUUUUGCCUUUUUCAGAAUGUCCUAGAGUUGGAAUCAUAGUGUGUAGCCUUUUGAGAUUGGCUUCUUUAACUUAGUAAUAUGCAUUUGAGGUUUCUCUGUGUCUUUUUGUGGCUUGAUGGCUCAUUUCUCUUUAUCACUGAAUAACAUUCCACUGUCUGAAUGUACCAUACUUUAUCCAUUUACCUACUGAAGGAUAUCUUGGUUGCUCCCAGUUUUGGUCAGGUACAAAUAAGGCUGCAAAUAAGGAUAAACAUGGAUUUUUUGUGUGGAUAUAAGUUUUCAACUCCUUUGGAUAAAUACCAGGGAGUGCUAUUGCUGAAUCAUAUGGUGAGAGUAUGUUUAGUUUUGUAAGAAAUCACCAACCUGUGAAAUGGCCAACCUUCCAGAGUGGCUGGACCACUUUGCAUUCCCACCAGCAAUGGAUGAGAGUUCCUGUAGCUCCACAUCCUUGUCAGCACUUGGUGGUGUCAGUGUUCUGGAUUUUGGCCAUGCUCAUAGAUGUGUAGUGGUUUCUCAUUUUAAUUUGCAUUUCCCUGAUGACACAGGAUGUAGAGCAUCUUUUCAUAUGCUCAUUGGUAUCUUCUUUGCUGAGGUGUCUGUUUAGGUCUUCUGCCCAUUUUUAGAUUGGGUCAUUUGUUUCCUUAUUGUUGAAUUUGAAGCAUGCUUUGUAUAUUUUCAACACAAGUCCUGUAUCAGAUGUGUGUUUUGCAGAUUUUUUUUCUUCCAGUCUGUGGCUUGUCUUCUCAUUCUCUUAGCAGCACCUGUCACAGGGCAGGAAGUCCAGCUUGUCAAACUUUUUUAAAAAAAAUGUUUAUGUAUUUAUUUUGUUGCACUGGGUCUUAGUUGUGGCACGUGGGCUCCUUAGUUGCGGCUUGCCAGCUCCUUAGUUGUGGCAUCUGAGCUCUUAGUUGCGACAUGCAUGUGGGAUCUAGUUCCCUGACCAGGGAUUGAACCCCUGCAUUGGGAGCGUGGAGUCUUAACCACCACGCCACCAGAGAAGUCCCUAUCAAUCCUUUCUUUCAUGGAUCGUGGGGGUGUUGAGGUUGCAGGUGGAAGUGCUGUGUCUCAGUUGCACGGGUGGGUACAGAUCACAUCUGGGAGAGCUUGACUGGCGCCAGGGCCUUUCAGGUGGCCUGUAGGUGCCGGAAGAGAGACAUAGCAGGAGGAAAGAGGGAGUCAGCUGAAUGUUUUGGUUUGAGAUCAAAAUGAUCUGAGCGUGGGUGAGCGCUGAGGGGAAGGGCCCCUGGGCUGGUGCUGCCGUAACAAAGGACCACCAACUCAGAUGGCAUCAAACAGGGCGAGCUUAUUAAGGUGUUGGCAGGUGUCUGAAGGCUCUGAAAGAGGAUGCUUCCUGUCUUCUCCAGCUUCUGGUGGCCGGCAAUCCCUUGGUGCUCCUUGGCUUGUAGACCAUCGCGCCAGUCUCUGCCAGCAUCUUCAUGUGGCCUUUUUUUUUUAAUAUUUAUUUUUUUAUUUAGGCUGCACCAGGUCUUAGUUGUGGCAUGUGGGAUCUAGUUCCUGACCAGGGAUCAAAGCCGGGCCCCCUGCAUUGGGAGCGCAGAGUCUUAUCCAUUGGACCACCUGGGAAGUCCCUUCAUAUGGCCGUUUCCUUGUGUGUCUGUGUCGGGUUUCCCUCUUAUAAGGUCACCAGUCAUUAGAUAAAGGCCCACCCUACUCCAGUAUGACUUCAUCUCAACUAAUGAAAUCUGCCAUGACUUGUUUCCAAUUGAAGCCCACUUCUCAGGUGCCAGGGGUUGGGCUUUGAACAUAUCUUUUUGGAGGACACAACUUGACCUGCAGCAGAGGGGGGACCCUGGUGGGUGAUGACAAGGCAGGAGCAGAGGCCAUGGGAGUUGGGGGGCGGGUUAGGCAGUGAGGAGUCCAGGGUGUGGAGGACAGAGCACUGGGAGUGUCCUUGUUGGGGACUUUGGGACCCUGAAUGAUGCAGCUCCGAGGGUGCUAGGUAGCACCAGAGGGAGAAGGGGAGUGAACAGGGGAGGGGGAUGUGACAGAGACCGGAGAGGAAGUUGGUGAUGGCAAUGGGGAGAGGAUGACUUGGGGGAGUGUGGGUAGCAGAAAUAGGCGGAAGAGCCUUUGGGAAUGGGCAAACUGUCCUGCUCACCAGCAGUACCAGUCAUUGUCCUGAUUGCAAAGAGAGACUUAGGACCUAAGACAGAAGAGGCUGUGCAGUGGCAGCCAGGAGGGGGGCCCAAGGGAGCACUCUGUCCAGAGUUCUUUCAGUUCUGGGAACGUUCACCCCCUCUCUUCCCUUUGUUCUCCCACAUGGCCAAAUUUCCAUGUCCAUAUGGAGUCUCACCUGUUUGCACCACUGCAUAGUUCCCUUGCAUGGUCCUGAUAAAGUUCAUUAUACUCUCUGACACUUCAGUGCGGUAUUUGGUCACUUUGAACUCUGUUGCUUUUAUCAUCCUUUUAUAUCCACGCUUAGUAUCUGCUGUAGACUGAAUGUGUCCCCCCAAGUUCAUGCUGACUCCUACUCCCUCCCUUCCGUGGGAUGGUGUUGGGAGAUGGGGCCUUUGGGAGGUCAUUAGUCAUGAGGGUGGGGCCCCAUGAUGGGAUUAGUGCCCAGUCUGUGGAUUCUGUUAUGGCAGCCUGAGCAGGCACUGAAUUAUUAUGAAAUUUACUGAACUCACCUGUGCCGAGUUCCCAGCCCAUCUGGUGUGUCAUCAUUGCUCAGGGGUGGCGUCUUUUAUUAUUAAUAAGACUGUUCCCUAUCUUAAACUUGGGGUGGUUUUCAUGUUAAGCCUCUUCCCCUGGGAUGGGGACCUGUUCGGGGCUGGCAUUAGUGACUGAUGGCUCAGACAGGACCCAGAAACCAUUCCCUGAGAGGCCACAGGGCCAUGAAGGGGAACAUUCUGGCAUUGCUGCUGCUGAGCCCAGCAACAGUGGUACAGAUGUUCUCACCAGACGGCAGCUGCUGACUGGCACCCCGAGUGAGGUGAAUCCCUGGUCUUGGUGUGGGCACCUUCCCUCGGUGGGGAUGCUGCAUGGUCCUGCCAGAGGCUGGCCAGAUGGAGGCCCAGGCGCCCAGCUGGCUGAUGUCUGAGUUGGGCAGGGCAUUUUCUGAGGGUGCAACUCCAGAACCCCACUCAAAAGUUCAUUUGCCCCCUUAAACAGCCAAUCUCUCUGAGCUGGUCUCCUCCCGUGCACACCGGGGAUAUUGUCACCCCUUCCGUGGGCUGUGCGGGUGGGCCCUGGGUGUGAUGCGGCCACAGGUCUCUGGGGGUAGGAGUGUGGUGGCCUGGAGGACUUGGGGAUGCGUGGGGUCACCUGGCCUCUGUCUCACCAACUCCCUCCAGCCCUGCCUGCUCAAGAUCUUGUCCUCUCCAUGAGGGGGACUCAGUAGAAGAUGGGACGUUUGCUGGGCUUCUGAUGAUUUGGUUGUAAGUGAAUGAAUGGAAAAUCCCUCUUCCUUCAGAAGGACUUUCCCUUUUUUUUUUAAGAUUCUUUUCACGUGGACCACUUUUAAAGUCUUUAUUGAACUUGUUACACUAUUGCUUCUGUUUUUAUGUUUUGGUCUUUUGGCUGCGAGGCAUGUGGGAUCUUAGCUCCCCAACCAGGUAUCGAACCCACAGCCCCUGCACUGGAAGGCGCAGUCUUAACCACUGGACCUCCAGGGAAGUCCCAGGACUUUCCAUUUUCUCAAGGGUGGACACCUCUCCUUCCCAGCCUGGAGUCAGCAGCCAGCCAAGGCCGGGCUCCAGUUUCCCUCAAGUCCCUGGGCCUCUUAGGGGCUGGAGGGGCUGCCCUGACACACGGGUCUCUCUCACACCUCUUUUUAGCCGACUAGUUGCUGCAUGUCCUGAGGUCCUGUGGGAACACAGAAGGAGCUGUGAGGCCCCAACGUCCCAAGAACUCGUGGUCCCCGUGGGGAGAUGUUGACUUGUUCACUGGAUGUCCCCUCCGUGCCCUCAGUGGGCCUGGGCCUCUGUGGACCCGGGACAGGUCUGGGUGAGGUGGGACGAGCCCGUCUGACAGCAGAGAGCCACAUUCAGCCUCCAGACCUGCAUCAGAGAGAUUCUGCAACCUCUAGCUGGUAGGUGAUCACCGCCAGGCGCCCACAGUGCCGGCCAGGUUGGAGGGCGGGCUCAGAACAGCGCUGCGUGUGCUGGUUCCCCUCCUCAGCCAGCCCCGUAGGCGUGUGGGGUGGCGUAGGACUCCGGAGUGUUUGAGGAUGUGGCCGUGGACUUCACCCCGAGGGGUGGGUGUUGCCGAAUCCUUCCCAAAGGAAUGUCCACAGAGAAAUGAUGCUGGAGACCUGGCCUUGCUUGGGAACACUGUCCACUCCUCCACGUUCCCUGGGCCAGGGCUCCCCGGCACUGCUGACAUGGGGGCCGUCCUGGGCGCUGUGGGGUUUGGAGUGGCAUCCCUGGCCCCGCCCCCUCGAUGCCGGGAGCCCCCCAGUCGUAACAAUCCCAGAGGUCGCCAGACAUGUGCGCGUGUCCAGGGGCAAGCUCACCUGGGUGAGAACAGGCAGAUUCACACCUUAAGGCAAGGUGUGUUUAUUUGGCUUCUGCUCUUGCUGGAGUGUUUCCCGGAUUCGGGAGCCGUGGCAACAGCACCGGGACCCGCCCUCAGUGAAGAGCCCUCCCCAGGCGGCCACGUUUCCCCAGCAGUGACUCGACCUCCUGUUUCCUGAUCCCCUUUGGCGUGCAGGGUGAGGGCGGCUGGGGGAUUUGGUCCCGUGAAAACCAUCACCUGCGUCCACAGAAGUCUGGGUGCCUGUUGGCAGGUCUAGGGUCAGAUUUGCCAAUCCUUGGAGCCCUGGAGACGGCAGUAUCGGCUCCAGUCUGAGGGAAGGAUUUGUAGUUCGGGGCUGCGUCCUCCUACACCAUCCAUCCCGCAUCUUCCUGUGCGAUCAGGAAGCCCCACAGACCUCCCAGGAUCUCCCAGUGGGACCAAGAAGAGUCAGGGACUCUGGAUGGAAAAAUUGUCCAGGGCACCUGGAGAAAAAACUAAAUUAAAAAAACUAAAAAAAAAAAAAAAAGUAUUUGUUAUUUCUACCCUUUGUUGCCAACAUCAGCAGACCCCUCGGAGGUCAACACCAGCCCUGUUCUCUACCCAGUGGUGGAUGCUGCUUCCCCACAUUUCCCUUCACAUUUUGGGGCCCAUGUUUUAAGAUAUCUCUAUGGGGUUUGCCUGGUUUUACUCACCUUUGUCCAGCCAUUUCUUUCUUUCUUUCUAGCAUUUUAAAAUUGAGAUAUAAUUCACAUACCAUAAAAGUCACCAUUUUAAACGGUCCAAUUCACUUGUUUAUAGUAUAUUCACAGGGUUGUGCAGCCAUCACCACUAUCUAGUUCCAGAACAUUCUCAUCACUCCCAAAACAAGACCCCCUGCCCAUUAGUAGUCAGUCCCCACCCUCCUUCCCCAGCCCCUGACAACCACAGGUGCACUCUCUAUAGAUUUGCCUGUUCUGGAUGGGUUUUUUUUUUUUAAUUUUUAAAAAUUAUUUUUAUUUUAUUUUAUUAUUAUUAUUUUUGGUUGCCUUAGGUCUUCGUUGCUGUGCAUGGGCUUUCCCUAGUUGUGGCGAGCAGGGGCUACUCUUCGUUGUGGUGCACGGGCUGCUCAUUGCAGUGGAUUCUUUUGUUGUGGCACACAGGCUCUAGGCGCACAUGCUUCGGUAGUUGCAGCAUGCAGCCUCAGUAGUUGUGGCAUGUGGGCUCAGUAGUUGUGGUGCAUGGGCUUAGUUGCUCCGUGGCAUGUGGGAUCUUCCCGGACCAGGGAUUGAACCCGUGUCCCCUGUGUUGGCAGACAGAAUCUUAAACCCUGCGCCACUAGGGAAGCCUGUUCUGGAUGUUUUGCAUCAAUGGAAUCACACUCUGUGUGUCCUUUUGUGUCUGGCUUCUCUCACCGAGCAUCGUGUUCUCAAGGUCCAUCCAUGUUGUAGUGAGUGUCAGUGCUUCUCUCCUUUUCAUGGCUGAGUAAUAUUCCAUUGUAUGGAUACACACAUAGUGUUUAUCUGUUCACCAAUUGAUGGACAUUUGGGUUGUUUCUACGUUUUGGCUGUUGUGAAUCAUGCUGCUGUGAACAUUUGAGUACAAGUUUUUGUGUGGACAUCUGUUUUCAUUUCUCUUGUAACUCCAUGUUUAACUUCUUGGGGAACUGCCAAACUUUUCCACAGCGGCUGCACAGUUUAACAUUCCCACCAGCAGUGCAUGAGGUCCACUUUCUCCACAUCUUCGCCAACACUCUUUUGUAUGAGUUUUUGUUUUCGGCCAUGCUGUGCAGCAUGGAAUCAAAUCCGCGCCCCCUGCAGUGGAAGCAUGGAGUCUUAACCACAGGAUCACCAGGGAAGUCCCCUGUAUGAGUCUUCUUUUUUUUUUUUUUUAAUAAAUUAAUUAAUUAAUUUAGUUUUGGCUGCAUUGGGUCUUUGUUGCUGCAUGUGGGCUUUCUCUGGUUGCAGCGAGCGGGGGCUACUCUUCGUUGCGGUGUUCGGGCUUCUUAUUGAGGUGGCUUCUGUUGUUGCUGAGCACAGGCUCUAGGCGCAUGGGCUUCAGUAAUUGCGGCUCGUGGGCUCUAGAGCACAGGCUCAGUAGUUUUGGCACACAGGCUUAGUUGCUCCACGGCAUGUGGGAUCUUCCUGGACCAGGGAUCAAACCUGUGUCCCCUGCAUCGGCAGGCAGAUUCUUAACCACUGACCCACCAGGAAAGUCCCUGUAUGAGUCUUCUUGAUCCUACUAUGUAUGAAGUGGUAUCUCAUUGUCGUUUUGAUUUACAUUUCCCUAUUGAGUAGUGAUGUUGAACAUCUUUUCAUCUGCUUAUUGGCCAUUUAUAUGUCUUAUUUGGAGAAAUGUGUAUUAAAAUCCUUUGUCCAUUUUUUUUUUUUUUGUGGUACGCGGGCCUCUCACCGUUGUGGCCUCUCCUGUUGCGGAGCACAGGCCCCGGAUGCGCAGGCUCAGCAGCCAUAGCUCAGGGACCUAGCCGCUCCACGGCAUGUGGGAUCUUCCCGGACCAGGGCAUGAACCCAUGUCCCCUGCAUCAGCAGGCAGACUCUCAACCACUGCGCCACCAGGGAAGCCCCUUUGUCCAUUUUUAAUUUUUUUUUUUCUUUUUAUUGUUCAGUGUCACUCUCUUUUUCUAAGACUUUAGUAAUUUUUUUGUCCAUUUUAUUGUAGACUGGAGGACUCAGCUUACAACCAAGGAGUCAACUUCUAAACAGGAUAUUUUUGGAGAAAAGACAUUUGAGGGCAUAAAAAUGGUAAGAUUCAGAAGCGAUAGAUCCUGGUCCUUUGCUCUCAGUAAAGUCAGUUGGGAUCAGGAGAGAAAUGUGAGGCAAAUGACUUUUAUUCAAGACAAAAUUGUAUCUCUGGGGAAAGUCUUUGAAAAGUAUGAAUCAGGAGAAAACUAAUGCAAACUUUUUCUGCCUAAAGCCAGUUGGCAAAUGUUUUUGGUUUUGAGUUCCGUGGGUUUUCUAUGACAGCACCUCAGGCAAUAAAGGAAGGAACGUGUCCGUGUUCCAAUAACCCCCUUUUCCCCUCCCAGUAACCCUUUAUUUACAUGGGGUUGGAUUUGGUCAGCAGGCCAGAGUUUGCCGGCCCCACCCUAAACCUAACUCAAAAGUUUUUUUUUCUGGAACAUUCCCAGAAGUAAACAUUUCCACAGACGUUGCUCAGUUGGAGUGAGUGUUUGAAGGAGAAUUCAGAAUUAAACAGGGAUCCAAAACUGACUUCCUGUAAUCUGCCUCAGGAGAGCCACAAAUGUGAUGGAGUCUCUGGCAAUGCAUUCACCCUCCUCGCUUCACACACACUUACUCAGGACCCAGGCACCUCUCACACUUGCUCACACUCUCCCAGAAUCAGAGACUCUGCGUCUGUGACCACAGCCGGGCUCGUGCUGGGGAAGGCCCUAUGGGGCGGAAGAGCCUCCAGGAGGAGCCCAGAUGUGGCACAAGCACUGGCAGGAAACUUGGGAAGUCCAUCAUCCUUCCGGAAGCGCAUGAGAACUCACCAGGGGGAGGCUCUGCAAGGAUGCCCAGUGCUCAGAGCCUUCAGCCCACACAAAACAUAUUAAUAAUUCUACAGUGAAAUGUAGAAAGAGUCAUCCUAAGUGGGAUAAAUAAUACUACAAAGUGCUGUACAAAAGUUGAGGUCAGAUUUUCCCAAAAAUUAAUGCAGAAAUGAUCUUACAUUACUGCAAAAUGAGUUGCCAAAAUUACACAUUCAAAGACUUGUGGAUUUUGGAAUUGCAGAUAAGGGUCUGGGGAGCUCUAUAAAAUUUCUAAACCUGUAUGCACCUAAUAACUUGGCCUCAAAAUACUGUAAGCAAAAAAAGAGUUAAAGGAAUUAAAUUAAAGGAGAAACUGCAAAAUUCACAGUCAAAAUGGGAGAUUUAGGGCUUCCCUCGUGGCACAGUGGUUGAGAGUCUGCCUGCCAAUGCAGGGGACAUGGGUUCGUGCCCUGGUCCGGGAAGAUCCCACAUGCCGUGGAGCGGCUGGGCCCGUGAGCCAUGGCCGCUGAGCCUGUGCACAACAACUGAAGUCUGCAUGCCUAGAGCCCGUGUUCUGCAACAAGAGAAGCCACCACAAUGAGAAGCCCAUGUACCAUGAUGAAGAAGUUGCUGCAACUAGAGAAAGCCCGCACACAACAAAGAAGACCCAGUGCAGCCAAAGAUACAUAAAUAAAUUAAUUAAACAAACCCAAAAGAAUUAAGAAACUGGUAAUAGAAACAUAAAUAUUGAUAAUAACCUUGAAUGUAAAUGGAUUAAAUGCCCCAAACAAAAAAUACAGACUGGCUGAAUGGAUACAAAACAAGACCCAUAUAUAUAUAUAUAUAUAUAUAUAUAUAUAUAUAUAUAUAUAUGCUGUCUACAAGAGACCCACUUCAGACCUAGGGACACAUACAGACUGAAAGUGAAGGGAUGGAAAAAGAUAUUCCAUGCAAAUGGAAAUCAAAAGAAAGCUAGAGUAGCAAUACUCGUAUCAGAUAAAGUAGACUUUGAAAUAAAGACUGUUACAAGAGAUAAGGAGGGACACUACAUAAUUAUCAAAGGAUCAAUCUAAGAAGAAGAUAUAAGAACUAUAAAUGUUUAUGCACCCAAUAUAGGAGCCCCUCAAUACAUAAGGCAAAUUCUAACAACCAUGAAAGGCGAAAUCGACAGUAACACAUUAAUAGUAGGGGACUUUAACACCCCACUUACACAAAUGGACAGAUCAUCCAAACGGAAAAUAAACAAGGAAUCACAAGCUUUAAAUGACACAAUAGACCAGAUAGGUCUAAUUGAUAUUUAUAGAACAUUCCACCCAAAAGUGGCAGAAUACACUUUCUCCUCAAGGGCACACAGAAUAUUCUCCAGGAUAGAUCACAUCUUGGGUCACAAAUCAAGCCUCGGAAAAUUUAAGAAAAUUGAAAUCAUGUCAAGAUCUUUUCUGACCACAACACUAUGAGAUUGGAAAUCAAUUACAGGAAUGCAGCAAAAGCAGUUCUAAGAUGGAAGUUUAUAGCAAUUCAAUCUCACCUCAAGAAAGAAGAAAAAUCUCAAAUAAACAUCUAACCCUACACUUAAAACAACUAGAGAAAGAAGAACAAAGAAAACCCAAAGUCAGUAGAAGGAAAGCAGUCAUAAAGAUCAGAGCAGAAAUAAAUGAAAUAGAAACGAAGAAAACAAUAGCAAAGAUCAAUAAAACUAAAAGCUGGUUCUUUGAGAAAAACAAAAUUGAUAAACCUUAGCUAGACUCAUCAAGAAAAAAAGGGAGAGGACGCAAAUCAAUAAAAUCAGAAAUGAAAAAGGAGAAAUCACAACUGACACUGCAGAAAUACAAAGGAUUAUAAGACUAUUACAAACAACUAUAUACCAAUAAAAUGGACAACCAUGGAGAAAUGGACAAAUUCUUGGAAAUGUACAAUUUUCCAAGACUGAACCAGGAAGAAUUAGAAAAUAUAAACAGACCUAUCACAAGUAAUGAAAUUGAAACCGUAAUUACAAAUCUUCCAACAAACAAAAGUCCAGGGCCAGAUGGCUUCACAGGCAAAUUCUAUCAAACAUUUAGAGAGGAGCUAAGGCCAAUCCUUCUCAAACUCUUCCAAAAACUUGGAGAGGGAGAAACACUCUCAAAUUCAUUCUACGAAGCCACCAUCACCCUGAUACCAAAACCAAAAAAAGAUAUCACAAAAAAAGAAAAUUAUAGACCAGUAUCACUGAUGAACAUGAUGCAAAAAUGCUGAACAAAAUACUAGCAAACAGAAUCCAACAGCACAUCAAAAGGAUCAUACACCAUGAUCAACUGGGGUUUAUCCCAGGCAUGCAAGGAUUCUUCAAUAUAUGGAAAUCAAUCAAUGUGAUACAUCACAUUAACAAAUUAAGGAAUAAAAACCAUAUGAUCAUUUCAAUAGAUGCAGAAAAACCUUUUGACAAAAUUCAACACCAUUUAUGAUAAAAACUCUCCAGAAAAUGGGCAUAGAGGGAACCUACCUCAACAUAAUAAAGGCCAUAUAUGAUAAACCCACAGCAAGCAUCAUACUCAAUGAUGAGAAACUGAAAGCAUUUCCACUAAGAUCAGGAACAAGACAAGGAUAUCCACUCUUGCCACUCUUAUUCAACAUAGUUUUGGAAGUCCUAGCCACAGCAAUCAGAGAAGAAAAAGAAAUAAAAGGAAUACAAAUUGGAAAAGAAGAAGUAAAACUGUCACUGUUUGCUGAUGACAUGAUAGUGUACAUAGAAAAUCAUAAAGAUGCCACCAGAAAACUACUAGAACUAAUCAAUGAAUUUGGUAAGUUUGCAGGAUACAAAAUUAAUGCACAGAAAUCUCUGGUAUUCCUAUACACCAACAAUGAAUAAUCAGGAAGAGAAAUUAAGGAAACACUCCCAUUUACCAUCGCAAGAGAAAGAAUAAAAUACCUAGGAAUAAACCUGCCUAAGGAGGUGAAAGACUCAUACUCAGAAAACUAUAAUACACUGAUGAAGGAAAUCAAAGAUGACAUAAACAAAUGGGGAAAUAUACCAUGUUCUUGGAUUGGAAGAAUCAAUAUUGUGAAAAUGACUAUAGUACCCAAAGCAAUCUACAGAUUCAAUGCAAUCCCUAUCAAACUACCAAUGGCAGUCUUCACACAAUUAGAACAAAAAUCUUACAAUUCGUAUGGAAACACAAAAGACCCUGAAUAGCCAAAGCAAUCUUGAGAAAGAAAAAUGGAGUUGGAGGAAUCAGGCUCCCUGACUUCAAACUAUACCACAAGGCUACAGUAAUUAAGACACUAUGGUACUGGCACAAAAACAGAAAUAUAGAUCAAUGGUACAGGAUAGAAUGCCAGAGAUAAACCCACGCACAUAUGGGCACCUAAUUUAUGACAAAGGAGUCAAGAACAUACAAUGGAGAAAAGACAGCCUCUUCAAUAAGUGGUGCUGGGGAAACUGGACAGCUACAUGUAAAAGAAUGAAAUUAGAACACUACCUAACACCAUACACAAAAAUAAACUCCAAAUGGAUUGAAGACUUAAAUGUAAGACCAGACACUAUAAAACUCUUAGAGGAAAAUAUUGGAAAAACACUUUGACAUAAACCACAGCAAGAUCUUUUUUGACCCACCUCCUAAAGUAAUGGAAAUAAAAACAAAAAUAAACAAAUGGGACUUAAAACCUUUUGCACAGCAAAGGAAACCAUAAACAAGACAAAAAGACAACCCUCAGAAUGGGAGAAAAUAUUUGCAAAUGAAACAACAGACAAAGGAUUAGUUUCCAAAAUAUACAAACAGCUCAUGGAGCUCAAUAUCAAAAAAACAAAUAAUCCAGUUAAAAAAUGGGUGGGGGCUUCCCUGGUGGCGCAGUGGUUGAGAGUCCGCCUGCCGAUGCGGGGGACACGGGUUCUUUCCCCGGCCCGGGAGGAUCCCACAUGUCGCAGAACGGCUGGGCCCGUGAGCCAUGGCCGCUGAGCCUGUGCGUCCGGAGCCUGUGCUCCGCAACGGGAGAGGCCACGACAGUGAGAGGCCCACGUACCGGAAAAAAAAAAAAAAAAAAAAAAAAGGCGGAAGACCUAAAUAGACAUUUCACCAAGGAAGACGUACAAAUGGCCAAGAGGCACAUGAAAAGGUGCUCAACAUCACUUAUUACUAGAGAAAUGCAAAUCAAAACUACGAGGAGUUAUCACCUCACACUGGUCAGAAUGACCAUUAUCCAAAAAUCUUGAAAUAGUAAAUGCUGGAAAGGAUGUGGUGAGAAGGGAACCCUCUUGCACUGUUGAUGGGAAUGUAAAUUGAUACAGCCACUAUGGAGAACAGUAUGGAGGUUCCUUAAAAAACUAAAAAUAGAACUACCAUGUGACCCAGCAAUCCCACUACUGGGCAUAUACGCUGAGAAAACCAUAAUUCAGAAAGAGACAUGUACCACAAUGUUCAUUGCAGCACUAUUUACAAUAGCCAGGACAUGGAACCAACCUAAAUGUCCAUCAACAGAUGCAUGGAUAAAGAAGAUGUGGCACAUAUAUACAAUGGAAUAUUACUUAGCCAUAAAAAGAAAAGAAAUUUAGUCAUUUGUAGUGAGGUGGAUGGACCUAGAGUCUGUCAUACAGAGUGAAGUAAGUCAGAAAGAGAAAAACAAAUACCAUAUGCUAACACAUAUAUAUGGAAUCUAGGGGAAAAAAAUUGGUACUGAUGUACCCAGUGGCACGGCAGGAAUAAAGAGGUAGACAUAGAGAAUGGACUUGAGGACAUGGGGUGGGAGGGCAAAGCUGGGGCGAAGUGAGAGUAGCAUCGACAUAUGUACACUACUGAAUGUAAAAUAGCUAGUGGGAAGCAGCAGCAUAGCACAGGGAGAUCGGCUCUGUGCUUUGCGAUGAUCUAGAGGGGUGGGAUAGGGAGGAUGGCAGGGAGGCUCAAGAGGGAGGGGAUAUGGGGACAUGUGUAUGCAUAUGGCUGAUUUGCUUUGUUGUGCAACAGAAACUAACACAGUAUCGUGAAGCAAUUAUACUCCAGUAAAGAUGUAUUAAAAUAAAAAGAUACAUGUACCCCUAUGUUCAUAGCAGCACUAUUUACAGUAUAGCAGCACUAUUUACAGUAGCCAAGACAUGGAAGCAACCUACGUGUCCAUCAACAGAUGAAUGGAUAAAGAAGAUGUGGUACACACACACACACUGGAAUACUACUCAGCCAUAAAAAAAAAUGAAAUAAUGCCAUUUGCAGCAACAUGGAUGGACCUAGAGAUGAUCAUACUAAAUGUUCUGAGGACUCAAGCCCAGAAGACAGCUUCUGAGAUCACUCUGAGGGACCGCUCCAAAGAGAUGUAAGGGCAAAUCAAAUUGAGAACAAGAGCCCUAACUCUCCCUGUUGAAAAUAAGGAAAGAGAUUUAUCUCUUCUCCUUUUGGUAGACCAUUUUCUUUAGAGAACGUGUGGUGGGGUAAAUUCUUUCUCUGUCCUUUGAAAUGUAAAUAAACCUUUUAAAAAACUAAAUAA